AGUCUUAUCCUUCCACGUUUCAAAAUACAAAGUAUAGAGAUCAUACGAAUGUGAACUAUUAUGGAAAUGGCAGAGGAGACUAUCGUAAGCUUGGUGCCUGAUGACGAAGGGAAACAAAAGUUCAGGAAAUGUGACCAGAUAUCGUUUUAUAGGAGACAGACCCUUGGACCUAACCUGCAGUACCGUGCCUGUCUGGACACCCUGGUGCUGACAGAGAGGGGAGCCAGGGUGGAACUAGAACCUGACUGCGGGGUUAGGCUGAUACUUUCUUUAUCAGCCAGUGAUGAAACAGUCAGGGUUCAAAUAGAUGAGCUCCAGCCCAUCAGAACACGCUACAGCGUUCCUGAUGUUCUUACAAAAGAACCUGUUGGAGAACCUUUGAGAGUGGCAAAGGAGACAAGAGACUUGGUCAGCCUCACAUGGGGGGAGAAACAGUACCAGGUGAGAGUGUGGGCGUGUCCUUUCAGACUGGAGGUGCUUUGUGGAGAGGAGGCGAUGGUAACAUUCAACUCCAGAGACAAACUACACUUUGAUACGCUUCAGGACAGACCGUCAGCUGAGCCAGGACAGCGUCAACAGGAUGACUCCAGUCUGUGGCAGGAGACUUGGAGAGAGUUUGUGGACAUUAAAGCAAAUGGACCCAGUAGCGUGGGAGCUGACUUGUGUCUCCAUGGUUACAACCAUGUGUAUGGUCUCCCAGAACAUGCGGACAGCCUGAAGCUGAGCGACACCAGGCAUGGUGAGCCAUAUCGGUUGUACAACCUGGAUGUGUUUGCCUAUGAUCUCCACAGCCGUCUGGGCCUGUACGGGUCUGUCCCGCUGGUUCUGGCCCACAAGACUAACCAGUCUAUUGGGGUGUUCUGGCUCAACACAUCUGAGACCCUGGUGGAUGUCCAAUACAACCCACAGGAGACGGAGGAAGAGGGGACCCCCCCAAUGAAGAGGCGUAGGGUUCCCCCCCAGACAGACCUCCGCUGGCUAUCAGAGAGUGGCCUAAUCGACUGCAUGGUGCUCCUGGGGCCCUCUCCAUCACAGGUCAUGUCUCAGUAUGCUCAACUAACAGGCUACCAGGCCCUGCCACCUCUGUUCUCCCUUGGUUACCACCAGUGUCGGUGGAACUAUGAAGAUGAGGCGGAUGUCAAGGCUGUGGAUGCCGGAUUUGACCACCACAACAUCCCCUAUGAUGUUAUCUGGCUGGACAUAGAGCACACAGACGGGAAGCGUUACUUCACCUGGGACCCCGUCUGCUUCCCCGACCCAGUUAGCCUGCAGCGCCACCUGGAGGACAGGAAGCGGAAGUUGGUGGUAAUCAAUGACCCACACAUCAAGGUGGACCCUGAUUGGUCUCUGUACUGCGAGGCUAGAGACGGAGGCCAUUUUGUUAAGGACAGAGAGGGACAGAUCUAUCAAGGCUCCUGCUGGCCAGGUGAUUCUAAUUACCUUGACUUCAGCAGCCCAGCCACGCGGGCCUGGUACUCACAACGUUUCGCCCUGGAGAGGUACUCAGGCUCCACCUCCUCACUGUUUGUGUGGAAUGACAUGAAUGAGCCCUCUGUUUUUGGGGGUCCGGAGCAGACAAUGCCAAAAGACGCAAUGCAUCAUGGGGGCUGGGAGCACAGGGAGCUACACAACCUAUAUGGCUUUCAUCAGCACAUGGCCACAGUGCAGGGUCUGAUAACCAGGUCCGGUGGCCUGGAGAGGCCGUUUGCCCUAUCACGAUCCUUCUUCGCUGGCUCUCAGAGACUAGGUGCUGUAUGGACAGGGGAUAAUGUAGCCUCCUGGGACUACCUGAAGAUCUCCAUUCCCAUGAUUCUCUCCCUGAGCCUGGCUGGGAUCUCCUUCUGUGGAGCUGAUGUAGGUGGGUUUGUAAAGGACCCGGACCCUGAGCUGUUGGUACGGUGGUACCAGGCCGGCGCGCUAACUCCUUUCUUCAGGGGCCACGCUGCCAUGAACACCAAGCGAAGGGAACCGUGGCUAUUUGGGGACCAGGUCACCUCUGCAAUCCGCUGUGUGAUCCAGCAGAGGUACCUCCUGCUGCCUUACUGGUACACCCUGUUCCACCAGGCCCACACCGCCGGCCUGCCGCCUCUCAGGCCGCUAUGGGUGGAGUUCCCCGCAGAUCAGGAUACCUUUACUGUGGACCAUCAGUACAUGAUCGGUGGGGCGUUGAUGGCUUGUCCAGUCACUGAACCGGGAGCAACCGAGGUCAAGGUAUUACUGCCUGGAUCUGAAGUGUGGUACGACAUCCAGUCAACCAAGCUGUUCAGAGGGAACAGGGGCCUUCUGCCACUGCCUGUAACCCUGGACACAGUACGUACAGCACAUACACCCAUGUUAACCUGCCUGUAACCCUGGACACAGUACGUACAGCACAUACACCCAUGUUAACCUGCCUGUCACCCUGGACACAGUAUGUACAGCACAUACACCCAUGUUAACCUGCCUGUCACCCUGGACACAGUACGUACAGCACAUACACCCAUGUUAACCUGCCUGUCACCCUGGACACAGUACGUACAGCACAUACACCCCUGUUAACCUGCCUGUAACUCUGGACACAGUACGUACAGCACAUACACCCAUGUUAACCUGCCUGUCACCCUGGACACAGUACGUACAGCACAUACACCCAUGUUAACCUGCCUGUCACCCUGGACACAGUACGUACAGCACAUACACCCAUGUUAACCUGCCUGUCACCCUGGACACAGUACGUACAGCACAUACACCCAUGUUAACCUGCCUGUCACCCUGGACACAGUACGUACAGCACAUACACCCAUGUUAACCUGCCUGUAACUCUGGACACAGUAGGUACAGCACAUACACCCAUGUUAACCUGCCUGUCACCCUGGACACAGUACGUACAGCACAUACACCCAUGUUAACCUGCCUGUCACCCUGGACACAGUACGUACAGCACAUACACCCAUGUUAACCUGCCUGUCACCCUGGACACAGUACGUACAGCACAUACACCCAUGUUAACCUGCCUGUCACCCUGGACACAGUACGUACAGCACAUACACCCAUGUUAACCUGCCUGUCACCCUGGACACAGUACGUACAGCACAUACACCCAUGUUAACCUGCCUGUAACUCUGGACACAGUACGUACAGCACAUACACCCAUGUUAACCUGCCUGUAACUCUGGACACAGUACGUACAGCACAUACACCCAUGUUAACCUGCCUGUAACUCUGGACACAGUAGGUACAGCACAUACACCCAUGUUAACCUGCCUGUAACUCUGGACACAGUAGGUACAGCACAUACACCCAUGUUAACCUGCCUGUAACUCUGGACACAGUAGGUACUGCUUGUCUCUCAGCUGCCAGUACAAGGCCUGGUUUUGCCCUCUCUCUCCAUCCCACUCCCCGUCUGUUUCUGCCCUUCUGUCUGUCUCUCCCUGUCGGUCCCUGUCUGUCUCUCCCUGUCGGUCCCUGUCUGUCUGAAUCUCCCUGUCGGUCCCUGUCUUUCUGUCUCUGCCCCGUCCCUAUCUACCUGUGUCCAGGUUCCAGUGUUCCAGCGUGGGGGUACUGUAGUGUCUAGGAGGACGGGGUGUGGCUCUUGUACUGCGGACCUCCAGAAGCACCCCCUCUCCCUGACCGUGGCU